rfam:Oryza glaberrima chromosome 6 Oglab06_unplaced183_6, whole genome shotgun sequence.
AAUAAGUGUGGUUUUAGCAAUGUUUAUGUCUAACGUUUGACCGUUCGUCUUAUUUGAAAAAAAAUUAUGAUUAGUAUUUUUAUUGUUAUUACAUGAUAAAACAUGAGUAGUACUUUAUGUGACUAUUUUUUUAACUUUUUCAUAAGUUUUUUCAAAUAAGACGAACAAUUAAAACGCUAAACACGGAUAUCUAUGGCUCCACUUAUU